UACGGAGGGUGCAAGCGUUAUCCGGAUUCACUGGGUUUAAAGGGUGCGUAGGUGGGCAGGUAAGUCAGUGGUGAAAUCUCCGGGCUUAACUCGGAAACUGCCAUUGAUACUAUCUUUCUUGAAUACCGUGGAGGUCAGCGGAAUAUGUCAUGUAGCGGUGAAAUGCUUAGAUAUGACAUAGAACACCAAUGGCGAAGGCAGCUCACUACACAAAGAUUGACACUGAGGCACGAAAGCGUGGGGAUCAAACAGG
rnacentral:rRNA from 1 species